rnacentral:lncRNA from 1 species
CGAUUUCACGCUUUUGUGACUCGAGCAGGGGACGGGAGUACGUCCUGUCAUUUUAACGUUGAAAAAGUUCGCAGCCCUGUCUUCGAAUCGAUUGACUUUUCUCCAUAUUCUAAUCUCUGCUGAAUAUAAAACGACGUUGGAAAGUUCGCAGGCUUGUCUUCGAAUCGAUUGUGACUUUUUCUUCAUAUUCUAAUCUCUGCUGAAUAUAAAACGACGAGAAAUGGCACGAAAGGAUCGUUCAUCGUUGGAUUUCUUAAGAAUGUGGUGAAUACGAGAUGAUUGACUCCAAAUGAGUGCUGUUGCGACUUAUUGAAUUGGUGCUGUCACAAAGCAAAAAGGAAAAAAAAGAGGUGAAAAACAGGCUUGACAAUUUUAUGAAAAGGAGGAGGAAGAGGAAGCUCAAGAAAAACAAUGGAACUUUGCGAAUCAUGUAACCACAUAGCUGAUAACUUCACUACUGCACAUUAGUCGAUCUUUCUUUUUCUUCUUUUAUUGGUAUACGCAGUCACUCGGCCGCGAUCAGAUCAUUAGCCGGUUAGUGAAAGUGUAGUAAAAUGGAGACUUUGCACGGCUCUGUACUGAGAGGUUGGGGCAUCAGUCGGUGAGUGACAAAGAUUUUAUCAGGUAACGAAUCUGUGAAAAAUGUACACAUCUAUUAUUAUAUUAAAAAUGAAUAUAACCCUU